GCCUCCAUAGCUCAGUGGAUAGAGCAGCGGAUUCCUAAUCUGCAGGUCCGGGGUUCGAGUCCCCGUGGAGGCA
rnacentral:tRNA from 1 species